CUACGGGUGGCUCCAGUGGGGAAUAUUGCACAAUGGGCGCAAGCCUGAUGCAGCAACGCCGCGUGAGGGAUGAAGGCCUUCGGGUUGUAAACCUCUUUUAGCAGGGAAGAAGCGAAAGUGACGGUACCUGCAGAAAAAGCACCGGCUAACUACGUGCCAGCAGCCGCGGUAAUACGGAGGGUGCAAGCGUUGUCCGGAAUUAUUGGGCGUAAAGAGCUCGUAGGCGGUUUGUCACGUCUGCUGUGAAAAUCCAAGGCUCAACCUUGGACUUGCAGUGGGUACGGGCAGGCUAGAGUGCGGUAGGGGAGAUGGGAAUUCCUGGUGUAGCGGUGGAAUGCGCAGAUAUCAGGAGGAACACCAAUGGCGAAGGCACAUCUCUGGGCCGUAACUGACGCUGAGGAGCGAAAGCGUGGGGAGCGAACAGGAUUAGAUACCCGGGUAGUC
rnacentral:rRNA from 1 species